rnacentral:tRNA from 1 species
UAGGAUAUAGCUCAGUGGUAGAAUGUUUGCCUAGAGCGAACAAGGCCCUGGGUUCAAUCCCAAGAAACACAG